UGUACAACGCUUUUUUGCUCGUUAUUAGCGUGAUGUGUGCCACAGGCGUUGGUUUUAUAAUCGAAAGGAUUUGUCUGUAAGUUACGACAGUGCGACAGUACAAUGAGCGCCAGCGGCCGGGCGGGCGGGUGUUAUAGGAUUACAGCUGGACUACAACUGUGGAUACCGCUUUAUCGUGAGUACUAUGCUUAAGUGCUUUUCCCUUGUGCACCAUUUAGAAAUAUUACUUCUACUAGAACCUCAUCUCUUUGUUCCGCGUCAGGUUCGUGGCACCUGUAUGUGCAUGCCGUUUUACGAGUAACAUGUACGAGUAGCUAGUUAACGUUACCAGAAACUUGUUUCAUUCUCGUGUUUUUGUCUUUGUAUUUCUUCGUUCAUGCUCGUGUUUUAGAUCCUUCACACCACGGGUGUUCUCGAACUAGCGUAGAACUAAGAGCUUCGCCAGCUUUCGGGGGCAAUGAGUAGUACUCACUGCCCCCGAAAGCCGGCGAAUCUCUUAGUUGAUAUGUCCAACUACUCCACAACAGAAAUGUUGAGAGAUUUGCGUGCUUUUUGGGGCCACGACUGCUCAAAUUAACUGCACACUCUAAUUACAUGUUGCAAUUGAAUAAUAUUUACUUGUGUCUUUUCAACUUUCCAGAAACCUUAAGCUGCUUGGGCUCAAAGGAAAAUGUCGAUCCAUCGUGUGCUAUUAAGAACAUCUCACAUACUUUGUUGAAUGAUUCAAGAUGUCCACAAGGUAGCCGAGCAAGGGACCCAUCAGCCAUGAAAUAUUAUCUAUUCCAUGUAACUCUGUAGUUCCUCUACUGCUUUUGUUUAAUUACAUUAUAGUUACGCUACAUGUACAUUAGAAUAUGUGCAAUGUUUGAUUACAAAUAAAAUGUAAUUUUGCAUUGCAGUUCUUUGGAUCUGUCGUUGCUGGGAACAGCGAUCCUGCAAAGUGGCACUGGUUGCCUACCAGCUAGCCUCUGUCCGAGCAGGCCACUUCACCGUUACUUGAAGCUGCUGCCGGCUAAAAGAAGCUGAGCAAGCUCCGUGCGCAUAUGCCCACUGAUGUAACCUGGAGUUCCAGCAGAGAUGGUCACUUCUGUGCACACCACCCUUCCUGGCCAAGUCGUGUGGAAAGGCA